UGUGUACAUAUAUAUUGUUUCAUACAUUACUAAAAAGUUUCUUUCCGAUGAUAAAUUCUACAGGUUGAGGCGGCAGGAGAAUCCAAAUUAGUGACAGAGAUGGAAGUUGAAAUACCUGAGAAGACCCACAGUGAUCCCCCGUCACCAUUUCAAGUAGUUAACAAUGUAAGCUAACUCUUGCAACAAAUAAAAUGUACUAUUUACUGUUCAAAUGUAUAAAAUUUAUAUUAUGCAGGUCAUACGGGAGUUGGAUACCAAAGCCGUUGGUGAUUUGGCUGCAGCUACUGAUGUGGAGGUAACAAUUUGUGUGUUUUAAUUCCUAUUUUCGAAAUAGCAUGCAUAGGAUUAUAUGUGUACAUUAUAUAGACUUGUGUACGUUAACUUGGACAGGUAGUCAUGGAAGAGCCGGGUAUUGUCGAGGGGUCUGUAGGAACUGAGGAUCCUAACCCAGGGUCAGAUGAAGCAGACAAGACCGAUAUUCCUAAAAAUAAUGUAUGUACCUAUUUUAA
rnacentral:sRNA from 1 species